NNCCAGCUGACGAGUUCCAAAUAGGAUGAAACGCGCGUUCUGGAU
rnacentral:hammerhead_ribozyme from 1 species